AAUUGAAGAGUUUGAUCAUGGCUCAGAUUGAACGCUGGCGGCAGGCCUAACACAUGCAAGUCGAGCGGUAGAGAGGUGCUUGCACCUCUUGAGAGCGGCGGACGGGUGAGUAAAGCCUAGGAAUCUGCCUGGUAGUGGGGGAUAACGCUCGGAAACGGACGCUAAUACCGCAUACGUCCUACGGGAGAAAGCAGGGGACCUUCGGGCCUUGCGCUAUCAGAUGAGCCUAGGUCGGAUUAGCUAGUUGGUGAGGUAAUGGCUCACCAAGGCGACGAUCCGUAACUGGUCUGAGAGGAUGAUCAGUCACACUGGAACUGAGACACGGUCCAGACUCCUACGGGAGGCAGCAGUGGGGAAUAUUGGACAAUGGGCGAAAGCCUG
rnacentral:rRNA from 1 species